rnacentral:lncRNA from 13 species
AUGUCUUCUCCCGUUCUCUGUUUCAAGAUGUCUUCUCCCGUUCUCUGUUUCAAGAUGUCUUAUCCCGUUCUGUUUCAAUAUGUCCUCUCCCGUUCUCUGUUUCAAGAUGUCCUCUCCCGUUCUCUGUUUCAAGAUGUCUUAUCCCGUUCUCUGUUUCAAGAUGUCUUAUCCCGUUCUCUGUUUCAAGAUGUCCUCUCCCGUUCUCUGUUUCAAGAUGUCCUCUCCCGUUCUCUGUNNNNNNNNNNNNNNNNNNNNNNNNNNNNNNNNNNNNNNNNNNNNNNNNNNNNNNNNNNNNNNNNNNNNNNNNNNNNNNNNNNNNNNNNNNNNNNNNNNNNUGUUUAUCAUAUCCAUUAUGACCCAGGAUGGCUCUACUCUGUUUAUCAUAUCCAUUAUGACCCAGGAUGGCUCUACUCUGUUUAUCAUAUCCAUUAUGACCCAGGAUGGCUCUACUCUGUUUAUCAUAUCCAGAAUGAAUCAGGAUGACCCAGUAUUUUUAAUGUAAUUUAUUUUUAUUUUAACCUUUAUUUAACUUGGCAAGUCAGUUAAUUAAGAACAAAUUCUUAUUUACAAUGACAACCUACCAAAAGUCCUCCUGCGGGGACGCGGGCUGGGAUUUUAUAAAUACAUAAAUAGGACAUUCACGACAAGAAAUGUAUGAUCCAGGACGGCUUUACUCUGUCCCUGCAUCUCUGUGUCCUGUGUUUGUUUAUCUCAUACUGUGUCUGUGUGCCUCUGUGUUCUGUAUCUGCUGCAGUAAGGCAUGUGGUGUGAUGCGGCGAGUGUGAAACUCCCACUGACAGAUGAUAGAGAGAGAAGGAGGGAGUGAAUUUGGAGUAAAAUACUUUUAACACUGCAGCUGAGACUGCAGAAGCAGCACAGGGCAGCGUUCAGCAAAGUGACACACACACACACACACACACACACAUACACACACACACACACACACACACACACACCCUUUNNNNNNNNNNNNNNNNNNNNNNNNNNNNNNNNNNNNNNNNNNNNNNNNNNNNNNNNNNNNNNNNNNNNNNNNNNNNNNNNNNNNNNNNNNNNNNNNNNNNCACACACACACACACACACACGCACAUAAACGCACACGCACACGCACACACACACACACAAACUGUACACCUGUGAAGGCUCCUCAGAGGAGAAAGGGGAGGAUCAUCCUACUCAUUGAUUUUCAUAAAAAAUAAACAUGGUGAAUUAGUAAAAAGUUAUACUUUUUAGAUAAAAUUAUGCUAAAUGUAGUUCAGUUCACCAUAUAACUGAUUAAAACAUACUGUUUUCCAUUGAAGGUCUACAGUAGCCUCAACAGCACCAUGGUGUAGCCAGAGGACAGCUACUUUCCAUCCUCUUCUUGGUACAUUGACUUCAAUACAAAUCCUAGGAGGCUCGUGGUUCUCACCCCACCUUCCAUAGACGUCCACAGUGAUUAUGGCAACUUCCGGAGGACAUCCUCCAACCUAUCAGAGCUCUUGCAGUAUGAACUAACAUCUUGUUCAUCCAUCCAAUCAAAUGAUUAGGGAAUGAAUCUAGUACUGCAAACAUACGCUACAUCUACUUAGUACCGCAGUGCAUAAAGUGUGGUGGGUAGUUGUCUCUAAGAAAGAUAAAUAAAAUAUUGGAACAAGUUAAUUUCUUCAAAAACUAAGGAGAAGCAGCAGUGAGAGAGAGCUAGCUAUAUUUCAUUGCAUUUUUUGUUUAGUUUAACUUUCACUGAACUAACGCAGCUAAUUUAUCCUGCUCAACAACCUGACUCAAACAGACAUGAAAGCUACUAAUGUUAGCUAACUGGAGAAGGCUAACCAACUCUUCCAAGUCGAGGUAAAGCUUUGGGUGUUAAACAUGUAUUGCCACUGGGGCCCGCCAGUGUAACUGCUAAACUGCUUGCUGUACACUGUACUUUGUGAUUGCACAUAUGGAUUGUGGGUUUAGUAUCGUGUUGGUACUAGUUUGUUGACUAUAACUUCACAAUGAUGACAAUAAUGUAGGAUGUGAAGCGGUUAGGGGUUAUGGUAUGAAGGUCAGGCUUGGAGAGGUUUUUGCGCUUGGUCACAGACGUUUGUUGUGCUGGGCACUGAAGACCACAAGUGAAGAGAAAAGAUGAACGGAUGAGAGCCUAUAGAUGCGAGAAGGAAAUAUACAAUGAGCAAAGUGAUGAUGCAGUAGAGUAGUAUUAUCACCCCUUGACUUUCUCCACAUUGUGUUGUGUUACAGCCUGAAUUUAAAAUGGAUUACAUUUAUAUUUUUUUUGUCAAUAGUCUGCGCACAAUAACCCAUAGUGUCAAAGUGGAAUUAUUUUAUUUUAUUUUAUUUUUAUAUUUACAAAUUAAUAAAAAGAAAAUAAGAAAUAUCUUCAGUAUUCCACCUCCUUAUGACAAGCCUUAAUACGUUCAGGGGUUAAAAUGUGCUUAACAAGUCACAUAAUACGUGUCAUGGACUCACUCUGUGGGCAAUAAUAGUGUUUAUCAUGAUUUUUAAUGACUACCUCAUCUCCGUACUCCACACAUAUAAUUAUCUGUAAGGUCCCUCAGUCGAGCAAUGAAUUUCAACCACAGAUUCAACCACAAAGACCAGGGAUGUUUUACAUUGUAUGCUCAAAGAAGGGAACAUAUUGGUAGAUGGGUAAAAAUAUAAAAAAACAGACAUUGAACAUCCCUUUGAGCAUACUAAAGUUAUUAAUUACACUUUGGAUGGUGUAUCCAUACACGCAGUCUCUGCAAAGAUACAGGCGUUUGGACACACCUUCUAGUUCGAGUUUUUCUUUAUUUUUACUAUUUUUUUUACAUUGACGAAAUAAUAGUCAAGACAUCAAAACUAUGAAAUUACAAGUAGUAACCAAAACAUUGUUAAACAAAUCAAAAUAUAUUUUAUAUUUGAGAUUAUUCAAAGUAGCCGCCCUUUAAAUUGAUGACAGCUUUGCAUAGUCUUGGCAUCCUCUCAACCAUCUUCACUUGUGUUUUUCAAACAGUCUUGAAGAAGUUCACAUAUACAGUGCCUUGCGAAAGUAUUCGGCCCUCUUGAACUUUGCGACCUUUUGCCACAUUUCAGGCUUCAAACAUAAAGAUAUAAAACUGUUUUUUUUUUGUGAAGAAUCAACAAGUGGGACACAAUCAUGAAGUGGAACAACAUUUAUUGGAUAUUUCAAACUUUUUUAACAAAUCAAAUCAAAAUCAAAUCAAAUUUAUUUUAUAUAGCCCUUCGUACAUCAGCUGAUAUCUCAAAGUGCUGUACAGAAACCCAGCCUAAAACCCCAAACAGCAAGCAAGCAAGAUGGUUAAAAUUGAUGGGAAGAUGGAUGGAGCCAAAUACAGGACCAUUCUGGAAGGAAACCUGAUGGAGUCUGCAAAAGACCUGAGACUGGGACGGAGAUUUGUCUUCCAACAAGACAAUGAUCCAAAACAUAAAGCAAAAUCUACAAUGGAAUGGUUCAAAAAUAAACAUGUCCAGGUGUGAAUGGCCAAGUCAAAGUCCAGACCUGAAUCCAAUCGAAAAUCUGUGGAAAGAACUGAAAACUGCUGUUCACAAAUGCUCUCCAUCCAACCUCAUUGAGCUUGAGCUGUUUUGCAAGGAGGAAUGGGAAAAAAAUGCAGUCUCUCGAUGUGCAAAACUGAUAGAGACAUACCCCAAGCGACUUCCAGCUGUAAUCACAGCAAAAGGUGGCACUACAAAGUAUUAACUUAAGGGGGCUGAAUAAUUUUGCACGCCCAAUUUUUCAGUUUUUUAAUUUGUUAAAAAACGUUUGAAAUAUCCAAUAAAUGUCGUUCCACUUCAUGAUUGUGUCCCACUUGUUGUUGAUUCUUCACAAAAAAAUACAGUUUUAUAUCUUUGUUUGAAGCCUGAAAUGUGGCAAAGGUCGCAAAGUUCAAGGGGGCCGAAUACUUUUGCAAGGCACUGUAUGCUGAACACUUGUUGUCUGCUUUCCUUAACUGUGUGGUCCUUCUCAAUUGGGUUGAGGUCGGCUGAUUGUGGAGGCCAAGUCAUCUGAUUCAGCACUCCAUCAUUCUCCUUCUUGGUAUAGGACAAAUUCAAGUAUCAUGUAGUAGUCUAAACUAUCAAUGUAACAUUGAGCUGGCUGAAACGAAUAUGAAUGACACACAGUAAAUCAAGUAUAGCUGAAAUCACAGUGUUACAUUUUUUUGGGGGGUAAAUUGACUAUUUCUAGAGUUAGCUUAACCCUCAAGAGACUGUUAUGCUCCCUGGAGUUCGUGUUGAUAACUGGAGUUCACUGAGACAGAGUACUUUUAACUCUGUUAAUAGUAACCAGAGACAUGGAGUUAUAAUGUAUGCAGUUAUCCACAGAUGUGGGAGGGGCCUCAUUGUCAUAUGUCACAGCAUGAUCUGUUCAAGGUAGAAUGUUUUUAUUGUUUAUUUCAAUAUCUGUGUUUUCACAUUUACAUAUUUUUUUUGUUAUCUUAUAUCACACAAAGAUAAACUAAUCCAAUCUGUAAGUGGUUGGAUAUCUAGCAAACCUUAGUUAGAUAGUUGUUCCAGUGGUGUUAGGCCACUGGAACAUUACAAUUGUUCCCAUUGUAAUCAGGGACUGAUUAAGACCUGGGACACCAGGUGUGUGCAGUUAUUUAUCAGGUAGAACAGAAAACCUGCAGGCUCUGGACUUUAUAGGGUAAGAGUUGAGUACCCCUGGUGUCGAUAGUCUUCAUGUGCUGUAUUCUUUCCCUAUUUUGACAGGCAUUCGGGAAUGCAAGUAGUGAGUGAUGUAAGUUGGCUUCCAACAAAGAUAAAAAAUCAAAUUGCAAACUACCAUAAUGUGAAAUAUUUAAACAAGAUUUUACUGUCUUAUAACUCAAUGAAGGUCAACUGUAAGUGAAAUGUAUUCUGCUGUAGUUGAUUGUUCAUUCAAAACGACACAGAACAGUGUAAAAUGGCAAAAGGAGUUGAUUAAUUAAAAAACGACACUGAAAAUAGUCAAAUGGCAAUGUGAAAUACAGUUUAGCAACUCUCUGAGAGUUUUCGAUUCACUCAAUUUAGUGUUGUUUUAACUCCGAAAUGUACA